AUUUACAUGGAUCCCUAAAACGCUUUCUGAUGGUCUACUCUCGUAACUAGCUCCCGUAUGGAAUGGAUGACAUAUCGGAAGCCUAGGCUAUCCGCUCCCCGUCACAUACACAAACAACCAACCGGGAAUCAGGGAGUGCCUUUUUUGGUUUCUUUUCUUUUACGGAGAAAUAGUCUGCAGAGUCUCGAGAGGGAGAACACUGAACAUACGAAAACUCCUCGCCGAUAUGGCAGAGGCGCAUAUCUCGGUAACGGAGAGCCAGUUCAGGUGCCCUAUUUGCCUGGAUAUCUUGAAGGAUCCGGUGUCCAUUCCGUGCGGACACACCUACUGCAUGGCAUGCAUGAACUGUUAUUGGGACCAAACCGACCUUGGUCACUACAGUUGUCCGCAAUGUCGGGAAGUGUUCAUAUCUCGACCUGUGCUACGGCGGAACACGGUGCUACAAGAGGUAGUGGACAAACUCAAACUGAACGAACUGGCUACGGCGCCGGAGUUGUAUCUAGGCGGCGUAGGGGACGUUCCGUGCGACUUCUGCCCGGUUCAGAACAAACUGAAAGCGCUCAAGUCGUGUCUGGUGUGCUUGGCGUCUUUCUGCGAGCUCCACGUCUUGCCGCAUCGCGACGUGGGGACGUUGCGGCGGCAUAAACUUGUUGCCGCGGUGGAGAGCUUGGCGGAAAGGCUGUGCGCGCAGCACCGUUUGGGCCUGGAGCAGGGCGGCGGCGGCGACGGGGGCGAUGCGGUGGAGUGGAGUGGCGACUGUAUGCUGUGCGAGUCUGACCAAGAGGAACUGCACAGCAUCGACGAGCAAAGGGCGCGGAAGCAGUGAACGAGAGCUCCUCUGUCUGUCACAUGUCUGGUGGAGAGUGUUUGAAAGCAGUGCCUGCAUCGUUUCCUCUCUCCCCUCUCUCUCUCCAGCCUUCGGACCAGAGGAUGAGAGUAUCCUUCCUCAGGUGCUCCUGUCGUCUGUCCCUGGACCCAGACACGGCCCACCCCACCCUGUUCCUCUUGGAGGGUCCCCAGGGGGCUCACUGUGGAGAGGAGCCCCAGUGCUACCCCCUCCACCCCUUGCGCUUCGACUCCGUGGCCCAGGUCCUCUGUAGGGAGGGCCAGUUUGGAGGGGCCAGCUACUGGGAGGUGGAGUGGAGGGGAGGGGAGGAGGGUGGGUGGACAUUGGGGUGACGUACAAAGGGAUCGGACGUAAAGGAGGCGGAAAACCCUGUCUGCUGGGACGGAACGAGAGCUCAUGGCGUCUGAGAUGCACGCACGCCGGGUACGCCGCGUGGCACGAUAACCGGAAGACGACCGUAGCUGCGCCCCUGUGCCCGCGGAUCGGCGUGUUUCUGGAACACCAGAAGGGAGCGUUGUCAUUCUAUAGUGUGGCGUCGGACGCCGUUUCCCUGCUCCACACGUUCAGGUGUCCGUUCUCUCAGCCGCUGUACCCAGCGUUUCGGUUAGACCUGGACUCCACACUGUUGAUAUGUCCACAUGAAAGACACAACGGAAACGGGAACUAACCUCUUCUCAUCUGUUUCUGAAUCUCUUAUUUUGACCCAAUGGGAACUCUUCCUGCGUACUGCCGAACAAAUACCAUUGAUUACAAGUAAACAGAAAUGUGCUUUUCUGCCCCAGAAAGGACCCAACGUGAACCCUACCUGACUCUUUACUGCUCCCUAUCCACUCUCUUUCUGAACACCUUCUUUUGACCCAAUAGGAACCCAUCCUAGACCCCAAACCUAACUCUGCUGCCCUCUCUUGUUAUGGUCAGAACCCUGCUUUAGCUUUACCGAGUACCUCAACUCCUCCACUGUGUUUUAAAAUGAACCUCCUAAAAGCUACAACCAACAACUGAUUGUUUAAUCAUUGCUGUGGCUCUACAUUUCAGUCAUUUAGCACACACUCUUAUCCAGGGCAACAUACAGGAGAAAUUAAGGUUAAGUGCCUUACUCAAGGGCACAUCGACAGAUGUUUUGACUUAGUCAGCUCGGGGAUUCAAACCAGCAACCUUUCAGUUACUGGCCCAACACUCUUAACCGCUAGGCUACCUGCCUCCCUGAAAUGUCAACUCAAGGUAUCAACUCAGCAUAUGUCCACUGUAAGGGAUUAAUCAUUUACAUUGACAUCAAUCAAUCAUUUUUGAAGUAUCGAUGCCAAAGAAACUCUAAUCUGCGCUCAACUCCGUGGAGGCGUUGUGUUACUUGGAUAGCUUUACCUAGGCCUAUCUCAAGUCACCCAACUAGUGAUGCUGAAAAGACAAUGUUGUUGUGUAAGGAGAGUCUGAACUGAGCAGUAUAUUGUAUGCAUGGCCUCUCCAUUCAAAUAUCAUUCACAAUGUGGCCCUAUUGUAAACAAGGACUUCACUUCAGCAGCCGUGAAGCCAUCUUGAUCAAUCCCCCUAUUCUACUGAUCACUGUGACUGUUACUUAACAAUAACAUAAUGUGAAAAAUAAGCUCACGUCAAUCCAACUAAAUGCAAUGUAGCCAAAUGUCGAAUGUAGCCAUUUCAAAAUACUAUUAGUUGGAAAGGUUUUGAAUGCCAUUAUAUCAUCAUGAAGGGACAUUGAUGGAAAUAUGUAUUUGCUAUAAAGUGCAUUAUUUCAUGAGUUAUAGUCAGACUAAUAGUGGAAUAGGCUAUGCUAGGUAGCCUAUGGUUUCUAUGGCCCCAUCUCUCUCUACCUCCCCAUUCCUUCAAUCAUUUAUUUCUCUGUGACUAUUACAAUGAAUGCGUAGCUUUGUAUUCAUGUGGGCUGUGUAACUGUUACUGUCUUCAAUAAACCAAUCAUACAUUUUCAAUCUCAA